AUCGUUUCAAAUCAUACCUUUCUCGGCCUUUUGGCUAAGAUCAAGUGUAGUAUCUGUUCUUAUCAGUUUAAUAUCUGAUACGUGGUUCAAUGAACCACACGAUAUUAAAUUAAUUUCUUCAGGGGGAAGGUUCAAACGGUAGCUUGCUGCCAGAGCCUUCGCGCGUCGCUUCUGUAUUGCACUACAGCAGAAGCCUGGCGCACCCCACACCCCAAUUCAAUCAUAAAUUACUAAUGGAAUAUUUAGAUUUCUAAAUGGUACUCUUUGAUUGCUAUAAAACUAUUUUGGCUUGAGCAUUUGUGUGUAAUUGCAGACGUCCAUCUAAGUGUAAUCAGAGACGUUCAUACGAAGAACAGUCAAUAGGUUGGACUGCUGGCAAUCCCUUUUUCUGAACGAUGAUACAAGUAGACUUUCUGAACAUGACUCUACCAGUUCUAUGCACAAUGAUGAAACAAACCAUGUUCAAAACAGGCUUAUCGGUACCUUUUAUGAGCAAGCUGCUGAAAAUAACAAUCUUCGAGGAGAAAUUAUGCAGAGCCAUGCAGUAGAAGUUCUGGAACACAAGUGGAGACCGGGAAGAAAAUAUGCAGUCCAGCAUUCAAGAGAAGCAAGUGGAGACGAGGAAGAUAAUAUGCAGUCCACCAUUCAAGUUUCUCUUCCUAUCCCAGCAUUCAAGUUUAUCUUCCUAUCCAGAUGUAUAGGAAAUUGUUGGCUCAACAAUUCAUAAAGAAAAGUUGUACAGCUAAAAAUAUUGGUUCAUCAACAUCUAUGACAAUAAA